CUGCAUCAUUCUGAGAAAUUCCGUCCUGCUUUUGGUGUGCUCACAAUUCAUUCCCUGCUUAUUUUGACACUGCUGCAAACAUUUCCAAGCCUUUUCUGACACUCCAUAGCCAGCAGAAUGUCUCCCACAGAAGACAGUCGUUGAUGAGACUUUAGCCUGCAGGGACUCCGUGGUUUCCUGGGUGACUUUGCCGGGUGAUUCUGAUAGUGGUGGCCCUACACUGACUGCUGUUUUCAUCCUGUGAUAUGCAGAGAAUGUUGCUAAUUAAAGGUUCUCACAGGGAUAGCUUUUUACUCAUUUUACUUCGGAGCCUAAAAGAUCAAGAGCUGACAGACUAGAAGACUCACAGAUUGGCUCAGAGGAGGCACGAGGAGACAAACAGAAUACAGCUUCUUGGGCUGGGGUUAUAGUCAUUCCACAGAAGAUCUUACUGCAGCACCAGCUGAUGUAGCUGCCUGUGGAUUAAGCUGCCUUUGAUACCAUUUGCAAUAAAGAGCUACCGUGUAUGACAGAUUCUUAUGUCAUUGAGAUUGCGGUGUUCUUCACUGAAGAAGAUGCUUCUGAGAAUCUGUCUUUAAUAAGUGACUUUAAUCCUUUCAUAUUUAUUGUUGUGACAUAUAUAUUUCUAGUAUUUCCUUCCAUAUGUUUUCCUAUGAUCUAUUGACCAUGCUUUCUAGUCAUUUACUUUGUUUUCUUUUAUCUGAUAUUUGUUGAAGGUGUCAAGAUUUCUA